rnacentral:tRNA from 1 species
GCAAUGGUAGCUCAGUGUAGAGCGUCAGGAUACACUCCUGAAGGUCGUGUGGUUCAACCCCCACCCAUUGCACCA